UCUCUCUCCCUCUUUUCUUUUUUAUUUAUUUUUAUUUUCCCCCAUUUUUGUUGAGCACACCUUUACCCUUAUCUGUCUCACAGACACACCUCAAGUCUCUCACAUCUUCUCUCUCUUCCUUUCUCACUUUGAUUUCAAAUUUGGAACUCCAUAGUUGUCUCUCACACCCCUUCCUCUUUCCACUGAAAAUUUGAAACACCAACCUCUCUCUAGAAGUUUAUCUCAGCAUACCCAAACCUUCUCUAAUCUACACAACUCCAAGGUUCCAUCGUCCAAGUUUAAUUUCAGCCAACCUUCUUCUGGUGGUGUCUAACGUACUAUUUGUUGUUGUUGUGCUUUAUAGUAUUUGUGGAGGUUGUUGCGAUAUUUUCUGUAUGUAAUUAGUGUGUUAAGUUUUGGGAGAUAUUCUUUGAAGUGUUCUGUUGUAUAUUGGAUAUGUAUUAUAGGUAGUUAUGUACUAUACGAGGUGGGAUUAAUGAUAGCAUCUGGCUGAAUAUGAUAAAUUUGUGAGUUGUAAUGAGGUUGCGGAGUUUGAGGGCUGACAGGUAUGUUUGGAUAAUAGUUGAAUUCAUAGGGAUAUAUGUAGUUGUUUGGAUGAGAAUGUUCGCUAAGCAUGGUGUUAUAGUAACUAUAAUAAUUUUCAGCAAGUGAAUUAUUGUAAGUGGUAUCAUAAUUGGGAAGGGCAUUGUAUAUUGUACUAAGGUCAAAUGUUAAAAAGUCAUAGUUUUCCAUCAAUUAUAGUGUAUUGUUUGUGCAGAAGAGUAAGGUUGAGAAGAUGAUGAGAGGUUGGGAGAGGAAGGGGGGGUGGAGGAUUUUAUAGGGAAAGAAUUUAUUGAGUUGGAUGACUUGGAUGACGAUAAUUGAAGUACUUAAAAGUUUUAGAAUUUGUGUGUUGUUGUUACUUUGUUCAGUUUUUCAUCGGUGAUUUGGCAAGUCUUCGUCAAAUAUUGCCAUUGUUAUUUUGGAUGUGUUGCAUGUGAAAAUUUGAGGUUUCUUAUGUCAAUGUGAAAGGUUGGUUGCCAUUUGGACCUACCAACUUUCCAAUGAAUUGAUUUCCUCGUGCAAUACUUCUUCUUCCAUUGAUUAAAUAUUUUAAAAACAAUAAUGAUUGUUCUAAAAGAAAAGAAAAGAAAAACUACUGUAGGGAUACGAAUACAAGGAUUAGACAUAGAAUUAGGUAGAAAUUCAUAUUCCAAAUUUUUGGAGAAUUUUUUUUAAAAAAUUA